UGCUCGAGUGGCGAACGGGUGAGUAACACGUGAGUAACCUGCCCUUAACUUUGGGAUAACUUCAGGAAACUGGGGCUAAUACCGGAUAGGAGCUCCUGCUGCAUGGUGGGGGUUGGAAAGUUUCGGCGGUUGGGGAUGGACUCGCGGCUUAUCAGCUUGUUGGUGGGGUAGUGGCUUACCAAGGCUUUGACGGGUAGCCGGCCUGAGAGGGUGACCGGCCACAUUGUGACUGAGAUACGGCCCAG
rnacentral:rRNA from 1 species